GGAUUCCCCUAGUAACUGCGAGUGAAGCGGGAAAAGCUCAAAUUUAAAAUCUGGCUUCGGCCCGAGUUGUAAUUUAGAGAAGUGUUACCCGUGCUGGACCGUGUACAAGUCCCCUGGAAUGGGGCGUCAUAGAGGGUGAGAAUCCCGUCUCUGACACGGACUCCCAGUGCAUUGUGGUGCGCUCUCGAAGAGUCGAGUUGUUUGGGAAUGCAGCUCAAAAUGGGUGGUAAAUUCCAUCUAAAGCUAAAUAUUGGGGAGAGACCGAUAGCGAACAAGUACCGUGAGGGAAAGAUGAAAAGAACUUUGGAAAGAGAGUUAAACAGUACGUGAAAUUGCUGAAAGGGAAACGCUUGAAGUCAGUCGCGUUGUGCGGGAUUCAGCCUGGCUUUUGCUUGGUGUACUUCCUGUACGACGGGUCAACAUCAGUUUUGACCAGUGGAUAAGGGCGUAGGGAAUGUGGCAUCUUCGGAUGUGUUAUAGCCUUGCGUCGCAUACAUUGGUUGGGACUGAGGAACUCAGCACGCCGCAAGGCCGGGGUUUACCCACGUUCGUGCUUAGGAUGUUGGCAUAAUGGCUUUAAUCGACCCG
rnacentral:sRNA from 1 species